rnacentral:rRNA from 1 species
AUGGCAAUGGAGCCGCUCCCGCUGGGCUUCGGCGACGCCAUGGACACCACCCUCUUCUCCACCCUCUGGUCCUUCCAGGAGGAGCUGCAGCCCAAAGAGAGCGUGGAGGAGCUGAAGCAGAGCUUGCUGGCGGCGACCAUGGAGCUGGAGGUGUCCAAGGAGGAGCUGCGGAGGAAGGAGCAGAGCAUCGCCAAGCUCGCCGACCUCGUGCGCCAGGUGGCCAAGGAGCGCGACGAGGCGAGGGACCAGGUGCAGCAGCUGCUCCUCGCCUCGGCCAAGCAGGCCACGCCGCCGGUGCACCAGCCUGCGCCCGCGCUCGGCACGUCGAGCGUCACCGACUCGGACUGCAGCCUCGUGUCGUCCCCCGUGGACCCCUUCUUCGACCCCGUCACCUCCUCCGACCGGCGCCGCUGCGGCGGCGGCGGCAAGCUCGGCGCCGCCAGCCCGCCCCCGCCGGCCAAGCAGCAGCAGCAGCAGAUGUGCGGCGCCGACGCCGUGCUCGAGAUGCUCGCCGCCAAGAAGCCGCUGCCGCCGAGGGGCCGGCUGCUGCAGUCCGUCAUGGAGGCGGGGCCCCUGCUGCAGAACCUGCUCGUCGCCGGGCCGCUCCCGCGCUGGCGCAACCCGCCGCCCGUGCACGCCCUCGACACGCUCCCGGUCGGCGGCGGCGGAGUCUACAUGAACACGACGCCACUCCACGCCGCCAACGCCGGCGCGGCGCUCGGCUACGGCCCCAACGGCAACAACGCAUGCAUGAAGCGGCCGAUGGCGGCGAUGCCCGCCAUGCCCAUGGCCGCCACGAGCUGCUCGCCGGGCUUCGCCCCCAAGCGGCACCGGCUGCAUUGA